UUCCUGUCCAACGAAAGUAAAGAAAGCUAAACAAAAUGAAAAUGUGCCUACCUUGUAAAACAUGAAUCAUGUUUAGAAAGUCCAUUGACAAAUUGGUUUUGGUAUCGAAAUCUGCAAAAACUAUUGCAUAUACAAGAAGAAGCAAGUUUAGAGAAUCAUCCUUUUUGGUAAAUUGGAUGAUAAAAUCAAUGAAUUUAUACACUGUCAACCUCUAUAGACAAAACUUCCACACCCCACAAGAAAAAGUGGAAAUGACUCGUUACUGUUUUCAUAUUCUUCUAUUUUUGAACCAUUUUUAACUCUCAAAUUGCAAUUGGGAAUUGUAGGAGAUGACCUCAUAAUACCUACGAGUCUUAAUUUCUUCCUGAUUUAGGAAUGUUUGGACUAAAAAUGAAAGUAAAGUUGCUGAGAGAUGACGAAAGUCAUUCUUUGAUGCCUAACUCAAUGGAUCCAUGACUGUUGACUAUUAAAUUUUAACUGAGAAAUUUUGAAGAAACUAAUAAUGCCAUAUUCCAGGUAAUAAAGAACCUACAAAAUGCCUNGUUGACUAUUAAAUUUUAACUGAGAAAUUUUGAAGAAACUAAUAAUGCCAUAUUCCAGGUAAUAAAGAACCUACAAAAUGCCUCUAUUUGUGUAAAAUAGAAAGUUACUAGAAAGUUAUAUUUUCUAUUCAGUCAAAGCCUAACUUCAAUUUCUACCACACAUUCACAACUACUACCGUUUCGUGGAACCAUCCAAUACUAUUCCUCCUAAAAACGUUAAUAAUAAUUUUAUCCGAACACUUGUAUUGAAUCCAGAAAGUAGUAAUUAUGACCUACUCAACUUCUGCAAACAUGCUUCUUGUUUGGCUAAGAAGCAUAAGCAUAAAAAUAAGUUCAAAAUGCUUUUAAGCAAGUUUUUGUUUUAUGGGUGAAGCAAGGUCUUCAGCAGUAGCUCUCAUCCAAGUGUAAAGUCUUUAAGAACAUACCA
rnacentral:lncRNA from 1 species